rnacentral:rRNA from 1 species
CCUACGGGUGGCAGCAGUGGGGAAUAUUGGGCAAUGGGCGCAAGCCUGACCCAGCAACGCCGCGUGAAGGAAGAAGGCUUUCGGGUUGUAAACUUCUUUUUAGGGGGAAGAGCAGAAGACGGUAUCCCUUGAAUAAGCCACGGCUAAAUACGUGCCAGCAGCCGCGGUAAUACGUAGGUGGCAAGCGUUGUACGGAUUUACUGGGGGUAAAGGGCGUGCAGCCGGGGAGACAAGUCAGAUGUGAAAUCCACGGGCUCAACCCGUGAACUGCAUUUGAAACUGUUUGCCUUGAGUGUCGGAGAGGUAAUCGGAAUGCCUUGUGUAGCGGUGAAAUGCGUAGAUAUAAGGAAGAACACCAGUGGCGAAGGCGGAUUACUGGACGAUAACUGACGGUGAGGCGCGAAAGCGUGGGGAGCAAACAGGAUUAGAUACCCUUGUAGUC